rnacentral:lncRNA from 1 species
UUCAAUUGAAAAGGAAUCGAUUAGAAAUUGAAAUCAAAGCAGAAGUGGCGAUCUAUGACUUCAAUACAAGACACGCUGAAACGUUAAGUUACUGUACAAAUACAAACACAAACACACUAUCUACAGCUUCAAUAGGAAUUGAUUAGAAUUCCACACCGAUUCAUACCUCCAAAGAGAAGAAUGCACUCCAUUGAUUGAAUCGAAGAGAGAGUAUAAGAGACAAUCCUCACACUUACUGCAACAAAUAUCUCAGAGAAAGAAACAAGUGCUGAUCCAUGACUUCAAUAGAAGAGAAUCUGAAACGUUAAGUUUCUGCAGAAACAUAAACACAAACACAUGAUCUACAGCUUCAAUUGAAAAGGAAUCGAUCAAAAUUAAGUUAACUUGACACUGAUUCAUACCUCCACAGAGAUGAAAGCACUCCAUUGCAUAAAAGUUAAAAAUGAAAGCACAGUUGUUCCAGUACAAGAGACGGUGAAACGUUAAGUUUCUGCAGAAACAUAAACACAAACACAUGAUCUACAACUUCAAUUGAAAAGGAAUCGAUUAGAAUUUGAAAUGAAAGCAAAAGUUAAGUUCACAGUGAUUCAUACCUUCACAGAGAUGAAAGCACUCCAUUGCAUAAGAGUUAAGAAUGAACGAACAGUUUUGAAGAUUAUCGCAACAACACCUUAAUUAAUAACACAGUGACUAUUGGUCUUCUUCUUAUUCAUAUUAAAUACCGUAGUCUUCCUCUUCUCUAUAAAUUAUUAUUAUUAUUAUUAACAUACGUAUUGUAAUUUGAAAUUUGGUAUAUAAGAACAAUUUAGCUGUAGUAGGUAAAGUCUUUAAAAAAAAAACUUGUUUAACCUAUCAGUUGUACAACCCUAAUUAAUAAUGUGAAAACAGAUACAUCAGACAUAAUCCACUGUUCAUCUCUUUGAAUUAUUAUUAAAUGCAAUGAUUAUGAAUUUUAAGAAAAAUAUCAAACAAAUUAAGAUGAAAAUUAAAUGUGACACAUAAAAUAUAUAUAUAUAUAUAUAUAUAUAUAUGUGGAUGUAAAAUAAUUGUAAUAACAUUAAUAUAUAUAUAAUAUUUUUAUUCACUCCUAUUUUAAAUUUAUCUUAAUUUUAUUUUAUAUGAAAUUGAUGCAAAUUAAUUGAAUAUUAGUGAUUUGAUUUUAGUUUUUUGUUGUAAAAUAAUAUUAGAAAAAUAAAUUAUAUUAAUUUAAAAGUAUACAAUUUUAUUAAAAAAAAAAAUCCGUGUAAUUUUAUAGAAUGUUAUUAAUAAAAUAAAUGUAAAUAUUAUUUAUAAUUUUAUAAAUUAAUUACUUCAUAAUUAAUCAUCUUUCAAUUUUAAAUCAUACCCAAUUUUAUUAAAAUUAAAUUAAGAGAUUUUUUUUUAAAAUUUAUUAUAUGAUUUAAUUAAUUUAAUUUUUUUAUCACAUUAAUUAAAUCUACUGUAAAUUUUUAAUAUUAUUUUUCCUUUAAUCUAAACAACUUCAUUUUCUUUCUUUUCUUUAAUGAAAAAACUUAAAUUUAAUUAAACUUAAACAAAUUACUAUAAUUAUUUUAAAUGAAUUUUACUUUUAUUGUGUUUACUUAACAUUUGAUAGAAAUUAAAAAUUAGUACGAAUGUUUCAACAAAAUUUAAAUUCAUCCUAAAAUUUAAUGUAAAAAUGAAAAGUGGAAAAUGUAUUAAAAAGUUAAACUGUUGCUUUCGAGGAAAAUUGAAUCUAGUAUUCAAUGUAAUAAAAAAAAAUAGAAAUGGUGGAUUCUUGUUUCUUAGAUUGACCGUUUAAAAAAAAUCAAAUGUUAUAUACCUAAUAUAUAAACUUUAUUACAAAAAUAAAUACAAUUGUUUUAUAAAAUAGUAAUAAAUAUAACUUAUAAUAAAUAUUUAUCUAGUCUGUUUUUAAAAUUAUCUAUGAAUAUAUAUAGUAUAUUUAUAUAUCGUUUUUAUGAAUAUAUGAGUUUUGGUUUAAUUCUCAUAUUUUAUAUUUUUUUAAUAAUAUUGUAUUCAUGUUGAUUACAAGUAAUUGUUGUUAUUUAAAAUGUUUGUCUGAUUGAGAUGUCAAGUUACUUAAUAAUGUUCGACAUAAAAAUCAUUCUGAUUAAUAUCAAAAUAUUAGCAACGUAAUAAAUGAGGAAUACUUUUUGCCAUUAAUCUUAUGUAGUUCAAUCAAUGUAUUUGUAAAGUAGAUGAGAUUUGCAACUAUUGUGGCUCUGAACACUUCCUAAUUAUUGAUGUAGAAGAGGUUCAAUUGUGUAUAUUAAUCAAUUAUUACCAUGAAAGUUUCUACCUUAAUUUUAUAGCAAAAAAGUCUCAUCAUUUUAAUAUAAGCUAAUAUGGUCCAAACAAAAUACUUUUAUUUUUCUUUUUUGGCGUGCUUCUAAGCAAGUGGUUACCAAUUUCUUUAAUUUUAAACAAAAUGCCAACACUUCAUCAAUUUGCAUUAGUUAAAUGCAACAUGAAGCGACCAAAAAAGCCUGGAAAAUUUCAGUAAACUUAACUAUUGUUUUAAAAAUUUGAGUUGUGUAUUAAAGAGAUAAAUUUGAAUAUAAACACAAAAAAUAUUAAUUUUUAAUAACUUCAGUACAGUGACAUAUGUUGUUAGCUACACCAAGUUUGUUUAACAAUUUUAUUAUGAAAAUCUUUUAUUGUAUAUAUUACUUUCUUCUUUUUUAUUUAAUGUAGGACUUAAAUUUUUUGGAUUCCUAUAAUUUUGUUGGGUUUAUUAUUGUAGAGCAUAAAGAUACUUUUGGUUGCAUAUGGCUAAGACAGUGAAAUGUUGAAUAUAAGUGAUUGCAGCAUUAGAAGAAAGAGGAAUGUCAAAUGGGCCAAUGUAGCACUCAAUGCAACUCCUUUUCUCUCUCAAACAUAAUUUAUCCCUUAAAUGCUUUGAAGUCACACACUACUAGGACUCAAUAUUAUUAUGCAUGGAAUCAUAUCCACAAAGAUAUGGUGAAGUGAUUAAAGCAUACAUAAAAUAAAUAUAAGCUACACUCAUUGAAGGAAGGAACAUAAAAGAAAUGGUUUUUGUAAUUUUGUCUCACCAAGAGCAACCUCUUACACAACAAUAAAUAAGAUAGCAAACAUACAACAAAAUAGAACAAGCAAAAGACUGAAGAAUAUUGUGUAGUUGCAAGUUACAAGUCUUUCUUUUGAGUGAUGAACAAUUUGGUCUUUAAUAACAAUGAACAAUGAAAACCCUCAUGAGGAAUUUCUACCAGUCAUGCGAUUGUACUCAUAUUGACUACAUAGAACUGACCAUUUAUAAGUCACCUCAAAUAAUUUUUGUUGAACUUUUCUUUCAUCUUCCACAAUUUGAGACUGGUCUUUCCUCACAUUUUCAAGCUCCAUUUUGUACCCAAUAGUUUCUGCAAUUCUUUUAUUUUUUUCAUCUUCCAGAGAUGAUAAGGCAUCCUCAGAAACUUUUAUUUCUUCCUUCAACCUAAUGAUUUGUUCCUUCAAAACUACUUCCUUCAGUUGAGCUUCAUCAUAGAAAUUCUUUGCCUCAGAAAUUUUGGAACCAAGAGUAGUGGCCAUCUCAUUCCCACGAGCUUCAAGUUCUGCCAACUUCUCAUUGGUAGCAAAACCUUGCUUAAAGGAGCAUGCAAUGCUUGGGAACUCUUGUUGCAUAAUUUCUAUAAUAUCUUUGAGUCCAUCUGAUAGAGUUACAUCUUUGAAAGGAAGGUUGGACAGGAAAUUAAUAGCAGACAAAAGGCUAAUGCUGUUAGUCUCAGAGCUAACUAUGUCCUUCAAAGACAUCUUUAGAUACUUUUCCAACUCAACAAGGGUCUUUCCAACUAUGUUGUCUUCACUCUCUUUCCCCACAACAACUGGUGCAAAUAAACUCAUGAUAUCAUUGGCCCCAAAGUCUUGAAUAAUUUUAGGAUGGCCUCCACUUUCUUUAACAGUGUGGGUCUCAGUUUGACUGCUCCUAAUUUCACUCUUAGAGGAAUAAGAAGAAAAUAUAAUAGUAAAGACGUUAGCAUCAAGCCACAACAGUUGCACAACAUUGAGUUCCUUAAACCAUUUUUUAUCCAAGCAUAUUUGUUAGAGUGAUGGUAACAAAUUCAUUAAAUUUAAAUUCCAACUUGAAAUUCAGUACUUUUUGUUUUUUAAUUCCACUCCUGCGGCAAAUGAUAAAUCAGAAUGGCAACAUCAUUUUUAUGCUGACCAAAUAUGUUGGAAAUGUUAAUUGCAUAAAAUAAACUUACAUGUGGGUGUGAUUUAGUUUGAGAAGUAAAUAUUUGGUCCAACUGUGAGCUAGUGGAUUCGGAAUGAAUUGAUGAAACUGCCGUACUGGUGUACUUUUUUGUGGUUUUCUCUACAGCUUCUCGCUCAAUACUCUGCAUAAGAAAAAAAGAUAUUUACUAGCAGAGUUGUUAUUAAUGGCAGGUGCACAUGCAUGUUAAUUUAAAAUAAUUGAUGUUAUUUUUGUUUGCCAUUUACAUAAGGAAUUUCGGAGCUACUUACAAUUUCUCCAAGUGACUUUUGUCUGUUCAUCAAGCACAAUUCACUAAUCCGCUGUUUGUCCACCAAUGCCUAAACAAAGUAAUGAACUAGUGUAAAAUCACUAUACUCUUAGCACUUCAAUUUUAUCUAGUAGGAAAAAUAUUUAUUAGGCUCACAUUUGAGGGUGUUUCACGUAGAGGAAUACUCAAAUAAGAUGGAGUUAGCCUUUCAGAUGGUUGUGAGUUUGUUAAUGAUGUUGUUGUUCUUGGUAUUUCUGAAGUAGAAACUUUUGCAACAAAUUCUUUCUCUGGUUCUUCAUUUCUCGCAGCAUUGUGAUCAAUAGAAACAACACCUAUUUCACCUUUUUUACCAACCAAGUCAGAACCUUCUUCGAAGCUAUUGUUAACAUUCUGGGUCUUCACACAUCGAGAAUUUCUUUUACAGUUUUCAUUAGACCCAUCACCUUGUUUAACAACCUGGGUAUCUAGUACCAUAUCCACACUACAAGACCUGUGUAAAAAACUUAAAAUUUUCGCUUUAUGAAUCCCAAGAAAACAUAUAAAUUGAUGGUAUCAAUCUUGUAAGAAUUGCAAAUACCACUAGAAUGUAUAUUUAAAUAGAAAGAGAAAAUUCAACUUCAAAUUCACAAAAAAAUUGAUACAUUUUAUCUGGGCAUUAACAAAGUCAUUUAAGACUCAUAAUUUCAUUCAUUUUUUACAUUACAUAGUCAAAAAGUUAAAUGAUCAUACCUCUUAGGAUUCUCAUCCUUUUGUCUCUCUGCAAUGUCCUCUCUUAGCUUAGGAUCCUUCGUCAAAAUAUGUUGACGCAUUUCAUCUAUCCAUGAACUCUCAAAUCCAAUCUCAACAGCUUCUUCGUAUAGUUUAUGAAACUCUUUUUCUCUUUGAGGAGUAAGAUUAUCAACACUUUCCUUCUGAAGGAACAACAACAUAUCUGCCAAAAUUUUCAACCUCCAAGCUUGAAAGCGCUCACUAAACUUCUCACAAGCAUUCCAAAGAUGAGGAUAUGUUGUUAUCGCCUCCACCAAAAGAGCAAUUUGUGCAUCAUCCAGAUCAACAAAAUGUUUAUAUGUUCCCAAUCUUGUACAGAUAUCUGCAAAAGCUAUAAAAAGUUUGAAAAGUGAUAUGAAAAUAUAGGAUUGAAACUUGAAAAUAAGAAAUAAAAAACCUGAAGAAAUGUCAAUAUUGUUGUUAGAAUUAAUAUGUAUCUCUUUUUGUUUGUCCAAUAGGUUCAACCCUUCUUCUACUUGGAUUUCUUGGCUUGGCAUGAUUCCUGCCUUUCCUUCAUUCAUCUUAUCAUCUUGUUCAACAACCUUGGAAUGUUGUGCAAGUAUGUCCAUGCCACCAGAGUCAAUGUGAGUUGCAACACCACCUCCAAUGCUAAUGUCUUCAACACCAGUUGACAAAGGUUUUGUCUUAUCACCCUUUGCUGAAGGCCCCUCCUUAAUGCUCUCAUUUCCUAUGUUUUCAAUCUCCUUUGUAUCACAAAUUGAAAAAAUUCAAUUGAGUGAGAGUUUAUAAAGUUUGAAAGGACCACUUUUUUAAUGUAAAUCAUGUUAGUUUCAAUAAUUUCUUCCUUAGGUUUGAAUAUGCUUUUGUUUGUCUACCAAAGAUGAUUUUUCACUUCAGGAUUUUUAAAUGGUUUAGGUCGGUCUAUCAAAUAUAUAUGAUUCACUCAUUUAUUGUCCAUCUACUACUCUUAUAAGAAAUGACCAACUAAAUGCUAAAGUAUCUUAAACAUUUUUAACAAAUAUAACGAAGUUAUAAAUGACAAGGUUUUUCUCUUUUAAUUAAUUGAUUAGUCAUGGAGAUUUUUAAUGUUGUCAAACUUUGUCUAGAAUUACAAGACACUAUAAGAAAAUUAUUAAAUAUAAAUUAAUUUUAAAGACUAAAAAUAAUAAGUCAUUAUAUUUGACUAAAUUUGAUUUUAUUUUAGAAAUUUAAAAAAUUAUUAGUAUCCAAAUAGUUUUUAUUAUUAUUAGUAAUUAUAGCUAAUUUAAUAUUAAUUUAAAAAUUGAUUUAUAAGUAUUUAGAAACUAAUUUAGACAUCGAUAAUUUUUUUAUUCUCUAAUAUAAUAUUUAAUUUAAUUAAUAUAAUAACUAAUUAUAUUUUUUUUUAAAGUUUGAUUUCUAUUUAAUAAUUUUCAAUAAUGACACAUAUAUUACUCUCAAACUUUAUUGCAUUCUUUAAGGAAGUUUUAAUUUAAUUUUUAUAAAUUUUAUUAAUAAUAAAAACUAUUUUAAAUACUAAUAAUUUUUUUAAGUUUAUAAAAUAAUAUCUAUCUAAUUUAGUCAAUAUAAUAACUAAUUAUUUUUUUAUUCUAAAAUUAGUGUCUACUUAAUAUUUUUUUUUUAGUAUCUUAUUUUAUUGUUAGCAAAAAUAUAUAUUUUAAGAUAAUUUUUUUUUUUACUUUUAUGAUUCAAGUACUUAUUUAAAAUCUCAAAUCUUAUAUUUUUUCUAUCACGUAAGUUUAAAUUAAAAAAAAAUCCUAAUAAUGAGACAAAAAGGUUAUUAAACUUUUUGUUUAGUUGUAUUUAUAUUCAUAGAUUGGUUGGUUCUGACCUGUGGUGAAGUGAACUCACUGCUACCACUAAUAGUAGAAUCUUCAUCUAAAUAGCUCAUGUACUCCCUUAAGUCCCAGUCUAAAAGUCCAGUGUUUUUUAAAUCUGUAACAAAAAAAUAUAUAUAUUAGGGAAUUCAUGUGACAAUGAAAGACAUACCAAAAAGAAAUGCAACCUUAGCUUUCCAGAUGGAUCAUUAUAUCAUUACAAUUAAAUAUGAAAAAUGAUUUAAAAAGUUUCAUGGAAUUUUUUUAUCACCCAUGAAAAUAAUGUGGUGACUCUGUCUUAGGAAUCGUUUUCUUUAUUUUAUUUUUAUUUUUUAUUUUUUUAUCAACAUAUCAUUUUCUUUGUAACAUUUCUUCCUAUAAUUAAAAUUACUAGAGCUUAAAAUUAAAAAAAUUGAAGCAAAUAAUAAUUUAAUGUGUUUAUUAGUGAAUACUAGAUUGGAAAUUUGAAACAGUAUUCUCUCUUAAUGAAAUAGUUAAUUUAUAAAUAUAUUUUCUUUAGGUGAAAUUGAGGGACGAUUUGUCUCAAACCAUGCCAAUAUCAUAUGAAAAUAUUAUUCUAUAAACUACUAACAUGUAACAAUUUAUAUUUGAAGACUCUAUAGUAUUUAUCUUUAUAAGGAAAAGUUUCCUUCAGCUCUCCAAAAGUAGUUGUUGGAGUCAAAGAGAGUUUUGGACUUUCGUAGACAACACAAAUUUUUAAACUCGGCAAUUCAAUCUCUUGAUCAAAGUUUGACAUAUGCAUAAAUAUUAAAAGUUUCACUCUUGGAAGCUCAACUUUUUUCUUUUCUAUCCUGUCACCUUUUUCUUGUCCACAUCCAACAAGUUCUUCUAGUUUAGAGGCUCCAUUUAUGAUCAAAAGAUAAAGAUUGGGAAAGUCAUUAGAUGCAGAUCCAGAGAUAAAUCUUUUCAGCUUAUGGCAAUGUCCAACAUACAAUUCUUUUAGUUUUGGGAAGCAUGGCUGAGGAGAAAGAAGAUUAGACAUUUUUUUGUCUUCCAAAUCCUCUUCAAUGAUUUCUCUUAAUUCUUUGCAUUUUCUUAUUUUCACACUUUUUAACUCUGGUAGGCAUCUUAAAACAUACUUUGGAAAUAUUACUUCCAAUUUUGCACAUCCAAUUAUUUCUAAUCUUCGAAGAUUUGGGAGGGUAAAAGAAUUGUUUGGAGCUCCUUGUUCACAUCCAACAAUCUGCUUCAAUUCCAUGCAUUCUUUUAUGAUUAGGAUUUUCAACUUUUGUAAACUUCUUAAAACAGAGGGAGGAAAUAUUUCUUUCAAUUUUGCACAUCCCAAUAUUUCUAAUAUGGUAAGAUGUUGGAGAUUAAUUGAAAUCUUGGAAGCCACCCAAAUAUAAGUCAUUUGAGGUAGAUUUUCCAAAAGCAAAUACUCUAACCUUAAACUCACUUGUUGCCCAACCAUUCCAUGUCCAUUAAGACAAAAAAUAUCUUCUACUUCACAAUUCCUUAUGGAUAGAUCUUGCAAACUGAAGAAAUGGCUUUGAAACCGUUUUAGAUCCUGCAGGACAUUAAUAAGAAAUAUAAAAAAAUCAAAAUAGAAAACAAAAAGGAGCACAUAACUAAUAAUUAUAAAAAUAAAAACAAGACUACUUACGCUAAUAGGCUCUCUUGAAUUGGUAGGAACAGUCAAACAACUAACGGGAUUGUAAAAAGGAUAGGAAAAUCUGUCACAAGAAAACUUCUUCAAAGAUGGCCAUGUCACAGUGAGAGUGUUGGUAGCACAAAUGCUAACAAAAUUUGGUAGAUUGUAAAGAGAGAUUUUUUCCAAUGCGGAAAAAUGAAUAUGAAUCUCAUCACAAUCCUGAUUAGCUACGGGAUAUUGGCCAAGCAUAUAUUUCAGUUGGUCACAGUCACGCACUGAAAGCUUUCUUAAGUUUGGAAAGAUAGCAUUCAAAUUCUCUUUGCCAUAUUCAUCUUCAAUGUCUAUAAUGUGCUCAAGUCCAUGACAUUUCUCAAUUCUCAAGAUUUCCAACAUCAAUGAUGAAACUAUAGACGGCUUAAAAAGAUAUUUUACCUUAUCAAAGCCUUUCAGUUCAAUCUCUCUUAUAUUAUGCAUAAUAAGCAAGUUCAAACCCUGAGGUUGUUUUGAAAUAUAUUCAACACUUUCAAGUGGGGGAACAAAAUCCGAGUUUGAUAUCUGCAAUAUAUACACCAAGUUACUUCUUAAACCAAACUAAUUAGUAUCUUAACUCUAAUUAUGAAUGCAUUUCAUUUCUAAUAUUCUUCGUGUAAAUUAAAAUUUUAAGAUAUACCACUCAUUGUUUAGAUUCACUUGUUUGUUUAUGAAAAUAAGUGCUUUUUGUUUAGCCCAACGAGACAAAGUUAAAAAGAGAAUAAUUUCACCAAAGUAAUUUACUCAAAAUAAUCUUUCCAAAUACUUAGAUAUUAAAAAUUCAUGUUGCACAUUUGGUAUGAAUUCAGUCACCAAUAAGUUGUAGUGCUUGUAAGACCAUUUUUUAUUUUUAGCACAAAUAUUUAAAUUCAAAUCUUUAGAGUAAUUUUUGAAAUACACGAAAAGAGAUGUGAAGUAAGUGAUAAAUAAUCAUACAAGAGAUGCAAAGUAAGUGAUAAAUAAUCAUACCUUGAUUGAAAUAUAAUCCCCAUGUCUAGCUUUUGAAGCAUCCGUUGAACAAUUUAUCAUGAAAAACCCAAUAUAUAUCCCAAUACCCAAUGAUAAUGUUCUCAAAGAUGGACAUCUUAUAGGAUAGCUAUCUAGAAUGGUGCUAUCCAGGGUACGAUCAAGUUUGAGUACUUCUAAAGCAGGAAGUUCAAAUAGAGUAUUCUUUUGUUUUUGGUGACAAGAAUUGUCUUUGAAUUUAUUUUGACUUGAAAAAUCUUUCAAAUCAACAAUCUCUUCAUCUCUUAUAUCAUUCAAUUUCAUCAUGCCUCCAACAAAAGAGAUAGGGAAUAUACGUUGCAAUAAGUCACAUCCACUGAUAUGUAGCACUUUCAAACCCUGGAAGAUUGAAAUAUCACUAUGAAAGUCAUGGUCAUCCUCGCCAAUAUUUUCCUUAUGAUUUUGAUUGACCCUUUCAUGAGUUACUAUAAGCUUCAAGCUAAGGCAAUUUUGAAUGAACAAUUCUUCCAAAGAAGUCAAGGUCUUAGCUGUAGAUGCUGUAAAAAUUGAGCCUAACUUCGGACAACAAAAUAUUUUAAGGCUUGUAAGGCUUGAUAGAGUUCCUGAAAAACAAUUAUAAAUAAUAAAAAUAUCGCUAAACAUAAUAGAGUUGAUUAUAUAUAUGCUAUGUGUGCAAGUUACACAUUUUGAUUUUUAAAACAUUGGUUUAUAGGGACUAAAACCAACAUCCUAAGCAUCAAAUGAUCAAUUAAUAAUGAUGAAAAGAAUCAUACAAAACAAUUUUCUUUAAAUAAUUCUAAAUUAUACACAAAAUUUAAAAUGCAAAUAUGGCUGUCUUUAAUUUUGACUGAGACAAAUUUUGUCGGUAGUGUAUUAUCAAAUUGUUAGUUCAAGUAAAACUAGAUUAGUAAUGUCUCAAGUUUGAACCUUACGAAUGGAAAAUAAUGAUCGGGACAAAAUAAUAUACAAUUAAUAUACUUAAAUUUUUCAUAUAAAAUAGUAGAUUCACAAUUUUUGUGUAACUUGUAAAUAACUUCAACUAAGCAGCAACAUGUAGACUUACUAAUACAUGCUUAAACAUACUUAGAAAUGCAAAAAGAAAAAAUGUACCUGAGCUAUGGUUUACAACUGCUGUUGAUGGAAUUGAAGUGCUAUACAAAUGUGAAUGCUUACCUUCCUCAAUGAUUUCAUCAAGUUCUUCUUUAUUAUCUUGGUCUGUUGAUGGAGCAAUAUCCCCAAUUAUUUGAUCUAGCAUGUCACAGUUUUCUAUCUUGAGCAUUUUCAAUUGAGUUAAGCCCUUUACAAUGUUGGUCGAGAAUAUAUGUUUUAAUUCUCUACAACUAUGUAUCUCUACUUUUUGAAGAUUUUGGAAGAUUUGUACAGGAUGUCUAGUGGUGAAUUCACCUUGACUUUUCUUCGUUUUGUCAUCAUCUCCUAAUAUAUGCUUCAGUUCAUCACAUGUUGAAAUUUUUAGUACUUUCAAUUGUACCAAACUUCGAGCAACGACAUACGUGAAAAGAGAUGUCAACUUUGGACAAUCACUAAAAUACAACUUCUCUAAGUUCUCAAAAGGUCCACUUAUAGGUUGAGAAAAAUGCCAUAAAGCUCUUAGAUUUUUCAAGUUAACCAUUCUGAGCUUAUACAACUUGGAGAAGGGAGAUACCACUGUACUCAAAUGGUUACUAGUGUCAAUCAAACACUCUAUCUCUUCAGAAUUACAUAUCUCAAACUUACUCAACUCGUCCAAACCUCCUCCUUCAAUUUGAAAUAUAUCAGGGAUGAUAUUUUUUGCGCCUCUCUGAAUAUUUGCUACAAAGAGAUAUGUUGCUUUUUUUGCCAAACCCUUAAUUACCUCAUUUGAUUUGUCAAAAUGGUUAAGUAAUAGAGUUCUGGGAGGAGGGUGAAAAUAAUUAUAAUUAUAAUCACCAAAGUUAUUGGAUCCUAAUACAAUUGCAUACCUUUGCAGUGUUUUGGGGACACUAAACGUGUUAAAGAAUUCAAUAUUGUCUUCACUAUUAGAAUCCCAUUCUCCUUCAAUAUCGACAAUGUACAACUCUUCCAGUAGUGGGAUUCUUUUGAUCACUUCGAAAUUCUUCCCUUUCAUUUCACAUUUGUACAAUUGUAACAAUUUUAAGGUUGUUACUUGUGUAAUUGCAACAUCGGUUUGUAAUUCAGGAAAUGAAGGCAAUGAACAACCAUUCAUCGAAAGACUUUGAAGUUUCUUCAUAUGGCUUACAAAUGAGAAGUCGCUCAAUUCAUAACCAGAAAUACCUAGAUAACGAAGAUUUGUUAAUGUUUUUAAACACAUUGUUGACAAUGGUGUUAUUCCAUCCUUAUCAUUGACUAGAAUCAAAACUUUGAGCAUUCUCAUUCUUUUGAAAAUUCCAUUAAAUUCUUCCAAUUUUGUCUUUAAAAAUAAAAACUCAAGAUUGGAACAAUCUAAAUCAAUUGGAAAUUUCACACACCAUAGAUAUCUUACUGAAUUUUGUUCAAUAGUCACAUCUUUUUCCUCUUCGCACUUGAUUAUCUUAUUCUCCUUCUUGGCUAUCAAGUGGGCCACAUCGCGAACUAUGUCAUGCAUUUUGACAUAUUCAUCCUCUUCAUCCAACAAUAAACAAGAACUGACGAGCUUAAUUUUGGCUGCAACCACUUCACUCCUUGCCUCCUCAUAAGAGUGUGCUUCUCCAACUACACCUAAUCCUAUAGCAUAUCUUGUUAAAACUUCAAUUGGAAUUUCACUAUCUUCAGGGAACACAGAACAAAAUAGGAAAAGUGAUUUGGCUUCUUUAGUAUCCAAAUUAUCAUAGCUCAGCUGCAAGCACUUGUAGGGAUCAAUCAAACCUCUUUCAAUAUUUAUUGGCUUAGAACUUCUCAACUUAUUCAAUGCAACAUUCCAUAUCGUCUCAACUUUUCCCUUCAAACUACUAGCAACAGCUGCAAUGGCAACAGGCAAUCCUUUACAUUCAUUGGAAAUUAAUCUUCCCAGAUUCUUUAAGGUAUCAGGGGUGUUUUUAGAUAUAAGUGCUUUAUUUUGGAAAAGAGUCCACGCUUCUUCAUCCGUUAAAAUUGGCAGGUAAAUCUUUCUUUGGCAAUCCAUUGAAGUACAAACUUCUUCUGAUCUAGUGGUAAUGAGAAUCUUGCAGACUGUAUGAUGUUCAGAGGAGGGAAUCCCAAUGCCACCAAAGUCAAGCUUCUCCCACACAUCAUCUAAAAUCAUAAGAAUGUUUUUCUCUUGGUUUAAUCUCAAGCACAAUCGUUGGGCCCUCUCCAUUACUUCAGUUUCUGGAAAUGUAUACUGCAGUGAACUUGCAAUUUUUUCUUGGAUCCUUCGAACUUCCACUGUACUAGAAAUAGGCACAAAAAGAACUUUUUCAAAACAAUGUUCUGCUUCUACUAACUUCAUAACCUCCAUUGCUAAUGUGGUUUUACCACACCCCCCCAUCCCAUACAAUCCAAUCAUGGCAACAUCAUUAUUUUUCACUGCUUCGAGCAGCUUCUCAUAUGUAGAUUGUCUACUCUCAAAAUUCAUGCAUUUUUCUGUGAGAAUAUGAAGGGUGCCUGAAGGAAGUGUAGCAAUGCGGUCAAAUGGCACAUAUUUUCUACCCUCUGCAAUGAACUUUUCAAGGUACACAUUUUUAUAUGCUAACUUUUUUCCUACACGAUAUUGCCAAAUCCAAUUUGGACAGUACCCAAAGCAACAGAAUUUUUUGGCUUUUGCCUCUUUCAACAACUGAUUCACAUUGUCUACGUCAUUAAUAGCAUCUUGCAACCACUUGUCAACAACUUCACUAGUCUUUCUUGUUUGUUUCUUGGCAUUUGUAACAAAUUUUUGGACACUGUCUUUCGUUACAAUCAAAUCGCGCUCUUCUUCUUCAAGUUUUUUUACGAAAUUGUUAAAAUCACAAGGAUAACGUAAUUGAUUUAAUGCGCCACAUACUAAAUCUCUUGAAACAGAAGAUGCAAAACCCAAGAGGCACUCCAUUAAUUUGUUCCACCAAAUGCACCUUUCUUUUAGCUGAACAAGAGAAGAUGAAUACUCUAUAGUGAGUUUUAUCAGUAUAUUUAGAUGUAUUAGAUAACAAAAAAAUUUAAGAUCAUUUGUUGCAUUACAUAUUGCAGUAUGGCACUUUUAUAGUAAAAUUACAUAAAAAAAAUUAUGAUGUUAUGUUUAGUAAUUAGAUUUAAUGUUUUAUAUCUUAAAUAAUGAAUUAUUGGACACACAAUAGAAAUAAAAAUAAAUCUAAUACUUUAAUGAUUAUUUUUAAAAGUUUAUGUGUGAUAAGAUUUUUUAAAUGUCCUUUUAAUGACUAAGAAAAUUUUAUCAAACAUAUUUAUUUUUAAAUAAUUUUUUUUAAUAAAUUCUUAUCCUCCAUCCAAAAAAAAUUAUAUUUAAACAUGUGCUUAAAUGACACCCAAGUAGAUCAAAAGAUUUGUUAAGUAGGAAAAAAAAAGUGAACGAGUAAAAAAUGUAUUUAACCAAAGCUUAAAAUAUGCAUUAUAUAUAAAGUUAAUAUUAUAUAUAUUUUGUAAGUUUAAUUUUAUUUAAAUUUAUACAAGCUCUUAGAUUAUAGCACUUUUUAUAAAAUUUGCAAAUAGUAGAAGAACAAAUGUUGGUAAUUCCUAAAAAAUUGUAAAUAUUCAAUAAAAUAAAAUAAAAUAAUCUAAAAGGGUACUUGAAAUUUAAUUAAGUCUAAAAUAAAUAAUUUUUUUUAGCUAAUUGCAUAUACUCAAUUACAUUGAGAUGAGUUAGACUUGGUACUUUAUGAGCUCUUCUCAAUUUAAACCAAGACUCGAGUGCUUUUAAAAUUCUACACAAACUUCUAUUGUUUUGAAAACGUUACAUUAUCACUGUUUCUUACAUCACACAUGCAAUUUCAUUAAAAACAGUUAAUAUAGGUAUAAUUCAAUUUCAUUAAAAACAGUUAAUAUAAGUAUAAUUUUUUAGAAUAUUAAAGAGUAUGAUUGUAUUUUACUCACCCAUUCAUUAUUCAUGAUUGGAUGUGAUUUUUAAUAAAUUUUUCCGAUGUAAAAAGUGCUUAUCUUAUACGUAUGUGGUCCGUAAUUGAUAAUGAAAUAUGAAAUAUAGAUUAUCAAUGUUUCUGCUCCGCAUUUUUAGUAAAUAUCAUUUUUAAAAGGGAAGAGAUAUAAAAAUAGGGUAUUAUAGUAGUUAAAAAUUAAUAUAAUAAAACUAAAAGUUGUAUUGUUUUAUGGAAACAUAUAUUAAUAUAUAAAAGAAUAGUUAUAAAAUUUAAAAGAUAUUACUAAAUACAUAUAUUUAUAUAUUUACCAAAUAAAUAAGAACAAAAAUACUUUCAAAAAUAGUGUAAGAAAAAGUAUCCGUCUUAUAUAUUAUCAAUGGAAAUAUAGAGACGGAUUAAUAUUAUUUUUUAUUACGAUAAAAAGAAAUAACUUUCUAAAAAUAAUUUAAAAUAUAUAUGAUAAUUAUUUUUAAGCAAAAGUAUCAUAUAAUUAUUUUUAGUAGAGAAACUAUGUACUUAUUAUUUACUAAAUAAAAUUAUAUUUAAUUUAUUAAAAGAUAAAUUAUCUAAUUAAAAAAUGACAAAAAAAAUAGUUAUAAAAAAUAUGUUCUGAUACAAAUUAUUAAUAAUAUUAAAUUAAUCAACCUUAAUAAUAAAAAAAGUGAUAAUAAAUAAAUAAUGACAAAAAAAUAAUAUUAAUAAUAUAAUAAAGAAUAAUAACAAUAAAAAAUUUACUUCUUUCUCUGUCCAUUUUGUUUCUCCAAAUCAACCUUUCUAGUUGUUUAUAUUCCCAGUUUUCACAGAUCUCAUAGUAUUUCUAAUACGAAUUAUUUUUUCAAAUCUCACAUAAAAAAACAGAUUAUAGUGUGUUUUCAUCCAUAAGAAGAAACAGAUCUAGUAGCCUGAGACUAAUUUGGAAGUGGAAAAAGAGGAAAGAUAGGUAAGGUUUGUACGUUACCUGCUUUCUUUAACUACGAUGUAGAGAGAGAUGAGAAAAAGAAGUGGUGAUCCAUGACUUCAGUACAAGAGACACUGAAACGUUAAGUUACUGCACAAACAUAAACACAAACACGUGAUCUACAGCUUCAAUUGAAAACGAAUCUAUUAGAAUUUGAAAACAAAGCAAAAGUUAACUUCACACUGAUUCAUACCUCCACAGAGAUGAAAGUACUCCAUUGCUUGAAUCGAUGAGAGAGUAAAAGAGACGCUGAAACAUUAAGUUACUGCACAAGCAUAAACACAAACACAUGAUCUACAACUUCAAUUGAAAAGGAAUCGAUUAGAAUUAAGUUAACUUCACAGUGAUUCAUACCUCCACAGAGAUUAAGAAUGAACGCACAGUUAUUCCAGCACAAGAGACGGUGAAAGGUUAAGUUACUGCAGAAACAUAAAC